rnacentral:rRNA from 1 species
UACAGAGGUCUCAAGCGUUGUUCGGAUUCAUUGGGCGUAAAGGGUGCGUAGGCGGCGCGGUAGUCGGGUGGGAAAUCUCGGGGCUUAACUCCGAAACUGCAUUCGAUACUGCCGUGCUUGAGGACUGGAGAGGAGACUGGAAUUUACGGUGUAGCAGUGAAAUGCGUAGAUAUCGUAAGGAAGACCAGUGGCGAAGGCGAGUUCCUGGACAGUUGCUGACACUGAGGCACGAAGGCUAGGGGAGCAAACGGG